AGAUUGCUUACUAUUUUUACGCCAAUACAUCUGGUAUAGCCCUGCACCUUUUUUGCUCCCUGAUGGACUGGUUCGCUUGGUUAAUAAACAGAUAAACUGGCAUUUGGUACUUGCAAGCAAUGGAAAACUUCUGGCUGCGGUUCAAGAUCAGUGUGUGGAGAUCAGAUCUGCAAAAGACGACUUUACAUCUAUUAUUGGGAAAUGCCAAGUUCCCAAAGACCCGAAACCCCAGUGGAGACGUGUAGCGUGGAGUUAUGAUUGCACCUUGCUAGCCUAUGCUGAAAGCAUGGGCACUGUGAGGGUGUUUGAUCUCAUGGGAAGUGAGCUCUUUGUUAUUAGCCCGGCAUCUGGUUUAGCAGGUGAUUUGAGCUAUGCCAUUGCUGGAUUAAUAUUUUUGGAGUAUAAAGCAAGUGCACAGUGGUCUGCAGAACUGUUGGUCAUCAAUUACCGAGGAGAACUUAGAAGUUACCUUGUAAGUGUUGGAACAAAUCAGAGCUAUCAAGAGAGCCACUGUUUCAGUUUCAGUAGUCACUACCCUCAUGGAAUCAACACCGCUCUUUACCAUCCUGGUCAUAGGUAAGGAGCCUCUGGUUCUCGUAU